AAGAAGGCCUUCGGGUUGUAAAGCUCUUUCAGAUGCGAAGAUGAUGACGGUAACAUCAGAAGAAGCCCCGGCUAAUUUCGUGCCAGCAGCCGCGGUAAUACGAAAGGGGCAAGCGUUGUUCGGAUUUACUGGGCGUAAAGGGCACGCAGGCGGUCUUGCCAGUCAGGGGUGAAAGCCCGGGGCUCAACCCCGGAACUGCCUCUGAUACUGCAGGACUAGAGACUAGGAGAGGGUGGUGGAAUUCCCAGUGUAGAGGUGAAAUUCGUAGAU
rnacentral:rRNA from 1 species